CAAAAAUUGUACAUUUCAGAACUAAGUCUACACCAAAGACAAAUUUUACUUUUGUACUUAAUAAUAAUGAUAUGGAAAUUGUUCCUAGUUAUACUUAUCUAGGUUUACUGUUGUCAGAAUUUUUAGACUACAAUUGUAUGGCUAAGGCAGUAGCUAAAUCUGCAAGUAGGUCUUUAGGUUUAUUAAUAGCUAAAUGUAAAGCUAAUGGCGGUUUUCAAUUUGAUACAUUUACAAAACUUUUUGAUACACUUGUCAUGUCUGUC
rnacentral:lncRNA from 1 species